rnacentral:rRNA from 1 species
UACGGGGGGGGCAAGCGUUGUUCGGAAUUACUGGGCGUAAAGGGCUCGUAGGCGGCCAACUAAGUCAGACGUGAAAUCCCCAGGCUCAACCUGGGAACUGCGUCUGAUACUGGAUGGCUUGAAUCCGGGAGAGGGAUGCAGAAUUCCAGGUGUAGCGGUGAAAUGCGUAGAUAUCAGGAGGAACACCAGUGGCGAAGGCGGCUUCCUGGACACCAACUGACGCUGAGACGCGAAAGCGUGGGGAGCAAACAGG